UACGUAGGGUGCAAGCGUUGUCCGGAAUUAUUGGGCGUAAAGAGCUUGUAGGCGGUUUUGUCGCGUCUGCUGUGAAAUUUCGGGGCUCAACCCCCGAACUUGCAGUGGGGUACGGGCAGACUAGAGUGUGGUAGGGGGAGACUGGAAUUCCUGGUGUAGCGGUGAAAAUGCGCAGAUAUCAGGAGGAACACCGGUGGCGAAGGCGGGUCUCUGGGCCGAUAUCGACGCUGAGGAGCGAAAGCGUGGGGAGCGAACAGG
rnacentral:rRNA from 1 species